AUCAAAUGAACUAAGGCAGAUGGUGGAGACCUAGGCACUCUGAGUCGAUGAAGGGCGCAGCAACCGGCGAAACGCUUCGGGGAGUUGGAAACGAGCUUUGAUCCGAAGAUUCCCGAAUAGGGCAACCUAUUUGACUCCUUAAUGAAUUCAUAGUAAAGGAAGAGGCAACCUGGUGAAUUGAAACAUCUUAGUAGCCAGAGGAAAAGAAAGCAAACGCGAUUCCCUUAGUAGCGGCGAGCGAAAGGGGAAAAGCCUAAAUUUGUUAAGAAGUUCAUUUUUGAACUUUUUAAUGGAUGUUGUGGGAGGACUAAGUUUUCUGACUCAAAAAGAAAACAUCAUAUGAACUUUCAUUUUUUAAAAAUGAAAACUUGUUCAAAAGAAAAAGACGAAUCAGCUGAAUCCUGUACCAAAGAUGGUGAAAGUCCAGUAGUUUAUAAUUCUUAUUAAAAAAAGUCUUAUCCCGAGUAGCAUGGGACACGUGAAAUCCCGUGUGAAUCCACGAGGACCACCUCGUAAGGCUAAAUAUUCCAGAGUGACCGAUAGCGAAAUAGUACUGCGAUGGAAUGGUUAAAUAGAACCCCUGUAGGGGAGUGAAAUAGAACAUGAAACCAUCUGCUGACAAGCAGCGGGAGGAUUUGAAAUCUGACCACGUGCCUGUUGAAGAAUGAGCUGGCGACUUAUAGGAAGUGGCUUGGUUAAGAACUAACAUUCGGAGCCGAAGCGAAAGCGAGUCUUAAUAGGGCGCAAUUGGUCACUUCUUAUGGACCCGAACCCGGGUGAUCUAACCACUGCCAGGUAGAAGCUUAGGUAAAACUUUGUAGAGGACCGUACCGACUGGUGUUGAAAAACCAACGGAUGAGCUGUGGUUAGCGGUAGAAGAUUGAAAACUGCCGGUCUUACCUUUUUAAAAAUCCUUCUAAAAAUAAGGAAAAUUUGUAAGAGCAUCAAUAAAGACUGACUCAGAACGAUGAAGUCUUUUUAAAAUCAAAAAAAAGAGAUAAUAUCGUGGGAAGUAAGAGCUCUCUUACCCUGUAACGACUGAUGAAUUCUUUUUGAAUAAGCUUCAUCGUCAAGAGGGAAACAGCCCAGAUCACCAGCUAAGGCCCCAAAAUGAAUGCUAAGUGGAAAAGGAUGUGGGAAUGCCGUGACACACGUGAGGUUAGCUUAGAAGCAGCGAUUCCUUGAAAGAAAGCGUAAAAGCUCAACGUUGUAAGCGUUCUUGCGCCGACAAUAGCCGGGACUAAGUGUUCUGCCGAAGCUGUGAGAUGGAGAAUUUUCUCCUAUCGGUAGGGGAGCGUUCGACUCUUGGGUGAAGCAUGUGCGGAAGCUCGUGUGGACAAAGUCGAAGUGAGAAUGUCAGCUUGAGUAACGAAAACGUUGGUGAGAAUCCAACGCUCCGAUAACCUAAGGGUUCCUUCACUAGGCUCGUCCAUGAAGGGUUAGUCAGGGCCUAAGAUCAGGCCAAAUGGCGUCGUCGAUGGAAAUCAGGUUAAUAUUCCUGAACUGAUUUGAUUAUUGGUCCCGAGGGACGAAGGAGGCUAAACUAGAACUGAUAACGGAUUGCAGUGGAAAUGUUCAAGACUUCUCGAUCGAAGAAAAACGGUUUGAGCGUUAAGACAUGAUCCCAUCGGCUUUCGGUUUCGCGAGAAAUUGAAGAAGAUGCUAGUGAUGUCACACUUCCUAGAAAAGCUCGUACGAAUUCAUUUCAAAUCACCUGUACCGUAAACCGACACAGGUAGGUGGGUAGAGAAUACCAAGGAGCGCGAGAGAACUCUCCCUAAGGAACUCGGCAAAUUGACCCCGUAACUUCGGAAGAAGGGGUGCCCUCUUUUCAUUUUCAAAAAGGGGGGCUGCACUGGCGACUGUUUAACAAAAACACAGGUCUCCGCAAAGUCGAAAGACAAUAUAUGGGGGCUGACGCCUGCCCAGUGCUGGAAGGUGAAGGAAGUUGGUUUACGCUGACGACCGAAGCCCCAGUGAACGGCGGCGGUAACUAUAACCGUCAAACCUUAGCGAAAUUCCUUGUCGAGUAAGUUUCGACCUGCACGAAAGGCGUAACGAUCAGAGCGCUGUCUCAGGGAGAGGCUCGGUGAAAUAGACUUGUCUGUGAAGAUGCGGACUACUUACACUUGGACAGAAAGACCCUAUGAAGCUUGACUGUAUCCUGGAAUUGCGUUUGGGCUUUUUCUGCGCAGAAUAGGUGGGAGGCGUUGAAGGCUUUCUUUCGGGAAGGUCUGAGCCGUCGUUGAGAUACCACUCUGAAAGAGCUAGAAUGCUAAUGGUGUUCCUUGAAUCAGGACGCUUGACAGUUUCAGGUGGGCAGUUUUUCUGGGGCGGAAUUCUCCUAAAGGGUAACGGAGAAGCGCAAUGGUUCCCUCAGCCUGGACGGAAAUCAGGCAUUGAGUGUAAAGGCAUAAGGGAGCUUGACUGCAAGACCUACAAGUCAAGCAGGAUCGAAAGAUGGCCUUAGUGAUCCGACGGUUCCGUGUGGAAGGGCCGUCGCUCAACGGACAAAAGUUACUCUAGGGAUAACAGGCUGAUCAUUUUCAAGAGUUCAUAUCGACGAAAUGGUUUGGCACCUCGAUGUCGGCUCUUUGCAUCCUGGGGCGGUAGUACGUCCCAAGGGUUGGGCUGUUCGCCCAUUAAAGCAGAACGUGAGCUGGGUUCAGAACGUCGUGAGACAGUUCGGUCCAUAUCCGGUGUAAGCGUUAGUGCAUUGAGGGAAACCUUUUAUAGUACGAGAGGACCCAAAAGGACGCACCAAUGGUAUACCAGUUCUCGUUCCAACGGGAAACGCUGGGUAGCUACGUGCGGAAUAGAUAACUGCUGAAAGCAUCUAAGUAGGAAGCUUAUCCCAAGAUGAGUGCACUUCUUUUCUUAACUUUUUGUUUAGAAAAGUAGUAGGUCACGGUAAGACUAGCCGUUUAAUAGGUACCAGGUGUAAGGCCAGUAAUGGUUUCAGCUAAGGUAUACUAACGACCGAAAAAUUUUGAU
rnacentral:rRNA from 1 species